rnacentral:rRNA from 1 species
CUCAAGAUUAAGCCAUGCAUGUGCAAGUAUGAACGCUUGAACCGUGAGACUGCGAAUGGCUCAUUAAAUCAGUUAUAGUUUAUUUGAUGGUGUCCGUUCUACGUGGAUAACUGUGGUAAUUCUAGAGCUAAUACAUGCAAAAGGUCCCGACUGGUUUCGUUUGGGAGGGGACGUAUUUAUUAGAUCCAAAACCAAUGCGGGUGAGUUCGACCUCGGUCGUCCUUCCCGGUSUGUUGGUGAUUCAUARUAAUUGCUCGAAUCGUUGUGCCCUUGAGCCGGCGAUGGUUCAUUCSAGUUUCUGCCCUAUCAACUUUCGAUGGUACGGUAUUGGCCUACCAUGGUCGCAACGGGUGACGGAGAAUUAGGGUUCGAUUCCGGAGAGGGAGCCUGAAAAACGGCUACCACAUCCAAGGAAGGCAKCAGGCGCGCAAAUUACCCAAUCCCGACUCGGGGAGGUAGUGACAAUAAAUAACAAUGCCGGUCCCUAUAGUGGUCCGGCAAUUGGAAUGAGUACAAUCCAAACCCCUUAACGAGGAACAAUUGGAGGGCAAGUCUGGUGCCAGCAGCCGCGGUAAUUCCAGCUCCAAUAGCGUAUAUUAAAGUUGUUGCAGUUAAAAAGCUCGUAGUUGGAUUUCGGGGCCCCAGACGUUGUCGACCGUCCCUGUCCUCAGGGAGGCGGUUGUCGUUGUCGGUCUCUGAGUCGGAUCGGUCCGUCGAGAGGCGAGCACUGACCGACGGCCCCCGUUUGUCUCUCGAGAUUCCUGCCUGCUCUUAAUUGNGGUGGACGGGNANUUCGGGAUGUUUACUUUGAACAA